rnacentral:rRNA from 1 species
GUCCUAGCCGUAAACGAUGUACACUGAGUGGAGGAGGGCUUGCCUUUCUCUGCUGCAGCUAACGCGUUAAGUGUCCCGCCUUGGGAGUACGGCCGCAAGGUUAAAACUCAAAGGAAUUGACGGGGGCUCGCACAAGCGGUUGAGCAUGUGGUUCAAUUCGAUGCAACGCGAAGAACCUUACCCGGGCUUGAAGUGGAGGUGGUAGGAACCGGAAACGGUAACGACCCCGCAAGGGGAGCCUUCAUCAGGUGUUGCAUGGCUGUCGU